CCAAAGGCUGCCAUGGCCUUCCAAAGGCUUCUAUCGGCUUCCAAAGGCUUCCAUAGGCUUCCAAAGGCUGCCAUGGCCUUCCAAAGGCUUCCAUAGGCUUCCAACGGCUUCCAUAGGCUUCCAAACGCUUCCAUAGGCUUCCAUGAGCUUCCAACGGCUUCCAUAGGCUUCCAACGGCUUCCAUAGGCUUCCAAACGCUUCCAUAGGCUUCCAUGGGCUUCCAAAGGCUGCCAUGGGCUUCCAAAGAGAGAGAGUUCCCUUUUUACUAUGAAGCAUUGUCCAUUCUUUGGCCUAAUGUGGAUGUGGAGCGGUGAGCAGUUUGACCAAAAAGGGAACUUAUCCUCUCGGGUUGUGCCGUUCAAUGAUUUUCAGAAGCCUCUAAAAGUCCAUUCAGCCGGUGAAUGGAAAGCACUCCUGGGUUUCUUCUCCUCCUUUAUGGACCUGCUCCAAGCCGCCAUGGCCGAGGCCGUCGCGUCACGAUGAUACCAGAAUGCUGAGCGUUCCCAGGGCCCGGCUGUGUGCAUCAGGAUGCUGUUACACUGACUUUGAAAGGGAGAGCAGUAGAACCAUAAACAGAAUCUCAGGUCAUCAUGAUGCUACCAGAUGUUGGAGUCCUGCGAUACUCUUUCAAUAACUACCAUGUAGACAGAAAUAUAUAAUAACAAAGAAAACGGAUGUCGUGCUCCAGUUAAAAACAUACAGUGUACAGCAGAUCACGGCUCACAGCUGGGUCGUCCAUACCUGGGAGGGUGGGAAUAAAAGAAUAAGUGCAGCUGUUUUAUAGGCGUUUUUUCCAUAAUCAAAUGAUAGCAACUAGACUCGAAAAAAAAGGAUUUUGUAUCCAGAAUUGUAUUCAUGGCAGAAAGUUUUCAAACAAUGUCAAAGUUACAGCAAUUAAAUGUACAAACUAGGAAACAUCCAAAAUAACUGGAAAAACUGAGGGAGAGCACAGGAUGCAGUGCAGCGUGUUCAAUUCUAUGAAUGUUGAAAAUCUUCCACAUUUAGGGCCCACAGAACAAGCGCAUCCACGUUUCCUUUAACACCGCCUCGUUCUCGGGCUCCUUCACGUGGACAGAGGAAGGAAAAGAACUCUGGAUUUGGCUUUUAGUUCAUUUUACAACUUUUAGGACCUAAUCAUUUUAAGGGCUAAUCAUGUGUUCAAACUUGAUUAAGCCAAAAUAAAUUAACCAAAUUAAGCCCAAAGAAAUUCUCCUCGGGGCUACUGAUGUCUUUUUUCCCAAUCUAAGUCAAUGGGGAAAAGUACAUUUGGGCCCCAUCGCAUCUCGUGACGGACUCGGAAGUUAUUAUUCUACCGUUUGGCCUUUAUGUCCUAUAUUUCCUUCAAAGUCUGGCGCUCUGGGGUUGGGGGGCCAAAACAUGCAACCUCAGUAUUUCUAAAAUCCUUGCUGUCUCUGACUCCAUGAAAACAAAUGUGGUGGAUCAGCAAAAUAAUAUUGAUCGUUGCUAUAAUAAUUUUUCACUUUACCAAUGGAUCCAAUGUGUAAUGUGAAAAGGGAGUUUUCAGUCGCAGUGAAAAGUCGGAGCAUUGACUAUAAAACAUGGACGGACUCAGUGACGUGAAAAGGCCAAACAAAAUGUUAAAUUGGUAACACCACUGGAAGAAUAAGCAACAUCGAAUGUAUACCCUUUAAUCUAGAUGUGCCAUUAUUACAGAAACGGUAGCUCUCUGGUCUGAAAAACAUCACCAACAUCAAAUAACUCCUGAGCUGCAGUUUAUAGGAGUUGGGAAGCUCUGAUCCUGUGAGUCAAACACAAUCAGGAAACAAUCUUUCCUUGUCUCUCCACCGGCAUCUUCGGGGACUCUGGGUACAGAGUGUGAGGGAAGACGUCUGAAUGCGAGAUGACUGCUCCAGAUCCGAUGGCGGAUGGGUGUAGCCGGUCGGAGGGCGUUUUAAUUGGAGAUGCGGCUGGCUCCUGCCCCAGCGGAGGGAGAACAGGAGCACGAGUGGCUCCCAGUGGCUCCCAGUGUGCUCGGAGCAUCGCAGAACCAGUGACCUAGAAAAAAAAGGAACGCCGAUCACUCCCCGGAGUUGGCGGCAGGAGGAGCCGCGCCUCUAACGAACGCGCGGGGUCUGCUGCUGAUCGGGGGGCAACCAGAGGCAUUGUGGGUAAGCGGGACACGCUGUGACUUCCUGUGGACUGCUCCGUUGGAAUGCAAGGGUGUCGGGAGAGAUCAGAUCCAAUGCUAUAGACUUUACAACAACGACACUGUAGCUGUGGACAACAACACACACAUGACUCUUUAUGUGUGGAGCUCUUUCAAAACCAACACUGCACUUUACUUUGGCAGAUAGAAGCAUUUAAUAAUGUACAGUAUUGUGGUUAUGUUGAAUGAUCAUUUUUUAUCUGAUUACAUGAAUGACUCUAUUGUCAUUCAUUAUAUAUUCCUACAGCUGCCUCCACUUAUGAGUUAUUGAACAUUUAUAUCAGCUGUGUAAUAGUGUGUUUUCAGAGCAUUUGAAUUUCAACAAAUAAACAUUUUGAAGACUACCCAAGCUUUAAAUGGCACCUAUA